ACGGGAGGCAGCAGUGGGGAAUAUUGGGCAAUGGGCGCAAGCCUGACCCAGCGACGCCGCGUGAAGGAAGAAGGUCUUCGGAUUGUAAACUUCUUUUAUGUGGGACGAAACAAAUGACGGUACCACAUGAAUAAGCCACGGCUAACUACGUGCCAGCAGCCGCGGUAAUACGUAGGUGGCGAGCGUUAUCCGGAUUUACUGGAUGUAAAGGGCGCGUAGGCGGGGAUGCAAGUCAGAUGUGAAAUCUAUGGGCUUAACCCAUAAACUGCAUUUGAAACUGUAUCUCUUGAGUGUCGGAGAGGUAGAUGGAAUUCCUAGUGUAGCGGUGAAAUGCGUAGAUAUUAGGAGGAACACCAGUGGCGAAGGCGAUCUACUGGACGAUAACUGACGCUGAGGCGCGAAAGCGUGGGGAGCAAACAGGAUUAGAUACCCUGGUA
rnacentral:rRNA from 1 species